rnacentral:rRNA from 1 species
AGCGAACGCUGGCGGCAGGCCUAACACAUGCAAGUCGAACGAAGUCUUCGGACUUAGUGGCGGACGGGUGAGUAACACGUGGGAACGUGCCUUUAGGUUCGGAAUAACUCAGGGAAACUUGUGCUAAUACCGAAUGUGCCCUUCGGGGGAAAGAUUUAUCGCCUUUAGAGCGGCCCGCGUCUGAGUAGGUAGUUGGUGAGGUAAAGGCUCACCAAGGCGACGAUCAGUAGCUGGUCUGAGAGGAUGAUCAGCCACAUUGGGACUGAGACACGGCCCAAACUCCUACGGGAGGCAGCAGUGGGGAAUCUUGCGCAAUGGGCGAAAGCCUGACGCAGCCAUGCCGCGUGAAUGAUGAAGGUCUUAGGAUUGUAAAAUUCUUUCACCGGGGACGAUAAUGACGGUACCCGGAGAAGAAGCCCCGGCUAACUUCGUGCCAGCCGCCGCCGUAAUAC